GGGAGCAGUCCUCCCGAAGUCGACUUUCAGGAGCAGGCUUCAAACCGCCCGGUGCUGCUGCGUCAAAAAGGCGUGGUAGUGAGCGACCGGAUUUACUAGCUUUCUGCCGGCGGU
rnacentral:ncRNA from 1 species